rnacentral:rRNA from 1 species
AUGGAUGUUAAGACUGCUUUCCUAAAUGGAGAGUUGGACGAGGAAAUCUAUAUGGAACAACCAGAUGGGUUUGUACUAGAUGGUCAGGAAGGAAAAGUGUGCAAGUUGCUGAAGUCUUUGUAUAGACUCAAGCAAGCACCUAAACAGUGGCAUGAGAAGUUUGAAAGAACUUUAUCAGCUGCAGGCUUUGUUGUAAAUAGUCCUAGCCAUCUCAGGCCCGGCCCUGUCGGCCCACCCAGGCCCGACCCUAAAAUCCAGGGCCUAGGCUCGAUGGGCUUGACCGUGGGCCGGGCUUGGGCCUGA